rnacentral:lncRNA from 1 species
UGCCUACAAGAGUACUAUAAUUUCCUUUAUAUAUGACUUUCAGUCUUACGGCCAUUACAUGAUCACUUAGCUAACUUGAGAAGUUUUUCAGGUUAGCACGUUUUAUUGUGCCUCCUUUUUAAAAAUGCUUCUACAUCCAGCCAUUGUUUUCAUAUUUUACUUCAGAUAUUAUUUUAUCCAGUUCAGUGUCAAAUGAUACUAUACUUUAAAAAUAAUCUAUUCAGAAAAUAUAAAAUAGUGGAUUGCAAACCCAGCCAUAGCCCUCAGAAGCAUUAAAAUGUUACUAGAAUGCCCGAAUGACAGCAAUGACAGCUUAAUCACUUAAAAGGCUUUUUACAUUAACAAUUUUUUUCUUUCAAUUUGAGCAGUAUAUUCAGGCAUGAUUUAAUAGGAGGUUAGCUGUUAAAUGUGGCUAAAUAACAUACUUUUUAAAAAUAUAAAAAUCAAGUUUAGUGUCUAAUGAACAUUCCUUUACACUUUCUGAUGUUUUAGUGCACAUUCA